rnacentral:tRNA from 1 species
GUGGGCGUAGCUCAGCUGGUAGAGUUCCUGGUUGUGGUCCAGGCGGUCGGGGGUUCGAGUCCCCUCGCUCACC